GGUUAAGCGACUAAGCGUACACGGUGGAUGCCCUGGCAGUCAGAGGCGAUGAAGGACGUGCUAAUCUGCGAUAAGCGUCGGUAAGGUGAUAUGAACCGUUAUAACCGGCGAUUUCCGAAUGGGGAAACCCAGUGUGAUUCGUCACACUAUCAUUAACUGAAUCCAUAGGUUAAUGAGGCGAACCGGGGGAACUGAAACAUCUAAGUACCCCGAGGAAAAGAAAUCAACCGAGAUUCCCCCAGUAGCGGCGAGCGAACGGGGAGCAGCCCAGAGCCUGAAUCAGUGUGUGUGUUAGUGGAAGCGUCUGGAAAGGCGCGCGAUACAGGGUGACAGCCCCGUACACAAAAAUGCACAUGCUGUGAGCUCGAUGAGUAGGGCGGGACACGUGGUAUCCUGUCUGAAUAUGGGGGGACCAUCCUCCAAGGCUAAAUACUCCUGACUGACCGAUAGUGAACCAGUACCGUGAGGGAAAGGCGAAAAGAACCCCGGCGAGGGGAGUGAAAAAGAACCUGAAACCGUGUACGUACAAGCAGUGGGAGCCUCUUAAUGGGGUGACUGCGUACCUUUUGUAUAAUGGGUCAGCGACUUAUAUUCUGUAGCAAGGUUAACCGAAUAGGGGAGCCGAAGGGAAACCGAGUCUUAACUGGGCGUUAAGUUGCAGGGUAUAGACCCGAAACCCGGUGAUCUAGCCAUGGGCAGGUUGAAGGUUGGGUAACACUAACUGGAGGACCGAACCGACUAAUGUUGAAAAAUUAGCGGAUGACUUGUGGCUGGGGGUGAAAGGCCAAUCAAACCGGGAGAUAGCUGGUUCUCCCCGAAAGCUAUUUAGGUAGCGCCUCGUGAAUUCAUCUCCGGGGGUAGAGCACUGUUUCGGCAAGGGGGUCAUCCCGACUUACCAACCCGAUGCAAACUGCGAAUACCGGAGAAUGUUAUCACGGGAGACACACGGCGGGUGCUAACGUCCGUCGUGAAGAGGGAAACAACCCAGACCGCCAGCUAAGGUCCCAAAGUCAUGGUUAAGUGGGAAACGAUGUGGGAAGGCCCAGACAGCCAGGAUGUUGGCUUAGAAGCAGCCAUCAUUUAAAGAAAGCGUAAUAGCUCACUGGUCGAGUCGGCCUGCGCGGAAGAUGUAACGGGGCUAAACCAUGCACCGAAGCUGCGGCAGCGACGCUUAUGCGUUGUUGGGUAGGGGAGCGUUCUGUAAGCCUGCGAAGGUGUGCUGUGAGGCAUGCUGGAGGUAUCAGAAGUGCGAAUGCUGACAUAAGUAACGAUAAAGCGGGUGAAAAGCCCGCUCGCCGGAAGACCAAGGGUUCCUGUCCAACGUUAAUCGGGGCAGGGUGAGUCGACCCCUAAGGCGAGGCCGAAAGGCGUAGUCGAUGGGAAACAGGUUAAUAUUCCUGUACUUGGUGUUACUGCGAAGGGGGGACGGAGAAGGCUAUGUUGGCCGGGCGACGGUUGUCCCGGUUUAAGCGUGUAGGCUGGUUUUCCAGGCAAAUCCGGAAAAUCAAGGCUGAGGCGUGAUGACGAGGCACUACGGUGCUGAAGCAACAAAUGCCCUGCUUCCAGGAAAAGCCUCUAAGCAUCAGGUAACAUCAAAUCGUACCCCAAACCGACACAGGUGGUCAGGUAGAGAAUACCAAGGCGCUUGAGAGAACUCGGGUGAAGGAACUAGGCAAAAUGGUGCCGUAACUUCGGGAGAAGGCACGCUGAUAUGUAGGUGAAGCGACUUGCUCGUGGAGCUGAAAUCAGUCGAAGAUACCAGCUGGCUGCAACUGUUUAUUAAAAACACAGCACUGUGCAAACACGAAAGUGGACGUAUACGGUGUGACGCCUGCCCGGUGCCGGAAGGUUAAUUGAUGGGGUUAGCGGUAACGCGAAGCUCUUGAUCGAAGCCCCGGUAAACGGCGGCCGUAACUAUAACGGUCCUAAGGUAGCGAAAUUCCUUGUCGGGUAAGUUCCGACCUGCACGAAUGGCGUAAUGAUGGCCAGGCUGUCUCCACCCGAGACUCAGUGAAAUUGAACUCGCUGUGAAGAUGCAGUGUACCCGCGGCAAGACGGAAAGACCCCGUGAACCUUUACUAUAGCUUGACACUGAACAUUGAGCCUUGAUGUGUAGGAUAGGUGGGAGGCUUUGAAGUGUGGACGCCAGUCUGCAUGGAGCCGACCUUGAAAUACCACCCUUUAAUGUUUGAUGUUCUAACGUUGGCCCCUAAUCGGGGUUGCGGACAGUGUCUGGUGGGUAGUUUGACUGGGGCGGUCUCCUCCUAAAGAGUAACGGAGGAGCACGAAGGUUGGCUAAUCCUGGUCGGACAUCAGGAGGUUAGUGCAAUGGCAUAAGCCAGCUUGACUGCGAGCGUGACGGCGCGAGCAGGUGCGAAAGCAGGUCAUAGUGAUCCGGUGGUUCUGAAUGGAAGGGCCAUCGCUCAACGGAUAAAAGGUACUCCGGGGAUAACAGGCUGAUACCGCCCAAGAGUUCAUAUCGACGGCGGUGUUUGGCACCUCGAUGUCGGCUCAUCACAUCCUGGGGCUGAAGUAGGUCCCAAGGGUAUGGCUGUUCGCCAUUUAAAGUGGUACGCGAGCUGGGUUUAGAACGUCGUGAGACAGUUCGGUCCCUAUCUGCCGUGGGCGCUGGAGAACUGAGGGGGGCUGCUCCUAGUACGAGAGGACCGGAGUGGACGCAUCACUGGUGUUCGGGUUGUCAUGCCAAUGGCACUGCCCGGUAGCUAAAUGCGGAAGAGAUAAGUGCUGAAAGCAUCUAAGCACGAAACUUGCCCCGAGAUGAGUUCUCCCUGACUCCUUGAGAGUCCUGAAGGAACGUUGAAGACGACGACGUUGAUAGGCCGGGUGUGUAAGCGCAGCGAUGCGUUGAGCUAACCGGUACUAAUGAACCGUGAGGCUUAACCUU
rnacentral:rRNA from 1 species